UGCGCCGUUAAAACUGGUGUCGAUUAUACUGUCGUUAAGCACCAGCAAAACAACGGAUAAUUAAAUUAAAUUAUCGUAUUAUCUUAUAACAAAGUUUACAAAAUUGCAUGUGCCUGUUAAAUCAUUUAGCCAUUACUCGACUGACUAAAGAUACAUUUCAAUGGUUUCUUGUUGGUCGAGUAGCCAGGGCCCUGGACACAGUGUAAGCUACGAUGUCACAGAGAUAGGGUUUCGAAUCACGCGGAGGGAUGAAUAAUAUUUUGCUGAACUAACAUUGUUGGGUUGAAAUAAACAUACAUUCAUAUGGACAUUAUAUAUUAACCUUGUAUGUAAAUGGGCAAUCCGAUAUAGUACAUUGUACGUCUGUUGUAAACAAACUCAUCAUAGAUAUCAGGAC
rnacentral:lncRNA from 1 species